CUACAAAUUUUUGAGAGCCCCAACCACAAUAUUUAUUAAUUCAAUAAACACAACAUAAUAUAAAUACAGAGAGACAUUCACUUUUAGGGUUUCAGCCGCUACCUUUGAAUUCUAGAGUGUUCUCCACUUCUCCCAAAAUUCUCUCUCAUUAGAUCCGCCCUUCUCACUUUGCAGAUCCAACCAUCCAUACAUCUUCUACAAUUCAAGUCUUCUCCACAAGCCACGCAGCUGCAACCGCUCCACGCGUCGUCACCUCCCUUCUCGACGACGAUAAAUGCGCCGCCGUUUUCCUCUGCACAGCCCGCAGCCGCCGCCGUCCGGUUUCAUAUGAUGUAACCUUAGAGGCGGGAUCCUCCACCACUGUACGAAGAUUUGGUGGCAUUGCCUCGUUAGCGCCUCCCUCAACAACAAUAAAUUCGCCGCCGCCUCCCUCUGCACAGCCCGUAUCCAGCCGCCGCCGUCCGGGUUUCAAACGACGGCGUCGCCCUUCAGAUCUCGGCCUUCUCCCUCAUCUGCAUAAGAUCUUAUUUUUUUUUCGUUUAUUAGUGUUGUCGUUUUUUAUUUUUAUUUUUUGUUUUGUUUUUAUAGUCUAUCUAUUUUUGUAGUAUCUGAAUAUCUAUUUUAGUAAAAGUAAAAGUUUUUUUUUUUUUUUUUUGCAGAUAGCUUUUUUUUUAAUACCAUGGAAGAUAUAUUUUUUAGCAUACGUAUUAGUUUUUUCGUUUUUGAGUUGUUUAUUUAUUUUUUGUGUUUAUGUUAUUAUUUUGCUAGAUCUAUGGAUAUCUGCACAAAUGGCUUACAAUGUAACUAAAUAUGUGUACUCUUAGCUGGUGUUUCUUUGGUGCUGUUCUUCUGGCUGGUGUGUGUUUCUUUGGUGCUCUUAUGUAGGUGAUAUGUCUUUUAUUUUGGUUUCUGUCGUUUUGGAGCUAAUUUGCGUUAACUUGCAGAUUAAUGGUACCCUCCCUCACGUCACUCCUCUCCCUUCACCUUUUCUACGCAUUCUCAGUCUCGCCAUUGUUUAUCAGGUAUCAUCAUCAACACGUUUCUUCUUCCCGUCUCUCUUCCAUUCUAUUCAUAAAUAGUUUCUCUAACUUGGCUAUUUUACACUUUUUUUCAUAAUUAUGGAACGCAUGCUGGAAGCACUAUAGGUUGGAAAAUGAAAGAAAGCAUCCACAUAAAUAAAUAUAAUGAACUAUUUUUUAGUGUUCAAUAAUGUUCUUGAGACAAAUAAAUGAAAAAUUAUGAAAAUGAUUUCAUAGUCUUCUAUCAAAAUUUCCCAACAAAUUAAGAUGUAGAUUACAAAUAAAUGAUUUACUAAUGUAAAUGAUUUCAUAGUCUUCUACCAGAAUUUUGAAGUAAUUCUUCUUCUUGAUGCCUACUUGCUGUAAAUCUUGAAUAUAUCAUUUCUUCUUCUUUAUACAUACUUACUGUAAAUCUUGAAUAUACUCAAACAAUUUUUUUGUCUUUUGUAGAUCUUCCAUGCUCCAUUGAAAGAUUAAGGCUUCUGCAGAUCUUCUGUGCUCCAUUGAUCUGCUGAGAAAAUUCAUAAAUAAAUAUUAGCUACUUUUAUCUAUUUUUCCUAUAAAUCUGGUAUAUACACAAACCAUUUAUUUGUUGCUUUUGCAGAAUUCGAGAGGUUCCCAUGCUCCAGAUUCAAGCCUUCAUCUGCAGAGAAAAUUUAGAAAUAAAUAUUGUACAUUGAAUUGUAUUGAGACCGUAAAUGGCCAUAAAAACUAAACAAAAUUAAAAUGAAAGUGCCACAUAAGAACAUAAAAUCUAUAAAANUAGAACAUAAAAAGAUUUGGAACAACUAAGAAAACUAAGAAUAGAUAGAGAAAUUACAACAAAUAUAGAGAGAGAAAGUCUGCGCUGUGAAAAUGCACUGUGAAAUAAUCUCAUAUUUAUAGGCUGAGUUCUUUAACCAAUUGGCUCCAAAGUGAGCAGAUUUUGAAAUUCAAAUAUAAUUUGGCCACAAUUUUUUCUAUUCUUUAUUAAUGGAACCAGCUGGAGCUAGCUGGACAGCAAUCAAAUCCAAAACUGACGGCAUUCUUAAACCCAGCGGAUAAAAUUCAGAAAGAUACAUUGGGCCAAUUGAUGUGGCUCUUGGCGGGAGGCACACUAUCCUAGAAUUCUAUGCUUUAGUAUAUGUAUAGAUUAUGUAAAACGUGAAAAGGAAGAAUGUACAAUUUUCUUGUCUUUAAUUGGAAAAAAACGCAUUAUAUAGAGUUAAUGUAUAUAAAUUUCUAUGUAACCAAUUUAUAAAGAUGC
rnacentral:lncRNA from 1 species